UACGAAGGGGGCUAGCGUUGCUCGGAAUUACUGGGCGUAAAGGGAGCGUAGGCGGACUGUUUAGUCAGAGGUGAAAGCCCAGGGCUCAACCUUGGAAUUGCCUUUGAUACUGGCAGUCUUGAGUACGGAAGGAGGUAUGUGGAGACUCCGAGUGUAGAGGUGAAAUUCGUAGAUAUUCGGAAGAACACCAGUGGCGAAGGCGACAUACUGGUCCGUUACUGACGCUGAGGCUCGAAAGCGUGGGGAGCAAACAGG
rnacentral:rRNA from 1 species